rnacentral:sRNA from 1 species
AGCAGCCGCGGUAAUUCCAGCUCCAAUAGCGUAUAUUAAAGUUGUUGCAGUUAAAAAGCUCGUAGUUGAAUUUCGGGGUUAGUAGGUUGGUCAUGCCUCUGGUAUGUACUGGUCUCACUGAUUCCUCCUUCCUGAUGAGCCGUAAUGCCAUUAAUUUGGUGUUGCGGGGAAUUUGGACUGUUACUUUAGAAAAAAUUAGAGUGUUUAAAGCAAGCUAACGCUUGAAUACAUUAGCAUGGAAUAAUGAAAUAGGACGUUCGAUCCUAUUUUGUUGGUUUCUAGGAUUGACGUAAUGAUUAAUAGGGAUAGUUGGGGGCAUUAGUAUUCAAUUGUCAGAGGUGAAAUUCUUGGAUUUAUUGAAGACUAACUACUGCGAAAGCAUUUGCCAAGGAUGUUUUCAUUAAUCAAGAACGAAAGUUAGGGGAUCGAAGACGAUCAGAUACCGUCGUAGUCUUAACCAUAAACUAUGCCGACUAGGGAUCGGAUGAUGUUAAUUUUUAAUGACUCAUUCGGCGCCUUA